UACAGAGGUCCCAAGCGUUGUUCGGAUUUAUUGGGCGUAAAGAGCUCGUAGGCGGCUUGUCACGUCGGAUGUGAAAGCCCGGGGCUUAACUCCGGGUCUGCAUUCGAUACGGGCUGGCUAGAGUGUGGUAGGGGAGAUCGGAAUUCCUGGUGUAGCGGUGAAAUGCGCAGAUAUCAGGAGGAACACCGGUGGCGAAGGCGGAUCUCUGGGCCAUUACUGACGCUGAGGAGCGAAAGCGUGGGGAGCGAACAGG
rnacentral:rRNA from 1 species